ACCAGUACCGUGAGGGAAAGGCGAAAAGAACCCCGGCGAGGGGAGUGAAAAAGAACCUGAAACCGUGUACGUACAAGCAGUGGGAGCACCUUCGGGUGUGACUGCGUACCUUUUGUAUAAUGGGUCAGCGACUUAUAUUCUGUAGCAAGGUUAACCGUAUAGGGGAGCCGCAGGGAAACCGAGUCUUAACUGGGCGUUAAGUUGCAGGGUAUAGACCCGAAACCCGGUGAUCUAGCCAUGGGCAGGUUGAAGGUUGGGUAACACUAACUGGAGGACCGAACCCACUGUCGUUGAAAAGCCAGGGGAUGACUUGUGGAU
rnacentral:rRNA from 2 species